rfam:Nematostella vectensis strain CH2 x CH6 NEMVEscaffold_118_Cont13811, whole genome shotgun sequence.
AAAAGGCCCUGUCAAAGCUUGCUAUGGUUCUUGUAUACCUUAAUAAGUCAAAAAGAGCCAAUAGUAACUGCUUUUCUCAUGGCCGCUGCUUGACUGAUUAAAUCCUAGUCUUUCAGGAUUACCCAGGAAAGCUAUAAAA